UACAGAGGUCCCGAGCGUUGUUCGGAUUCACUGGGCGUAAAGGGUGCGUAGGUGGUGAGGUAAGUCGGAUGUGAAAUCUCCGGGCUCAACCCGGAAAUGGCAUUGGGAACUACCUUGCUUGAGGAUUUGAGGGGGGAUUGGAAUACUUGGUGUAGCAGUGAAAUGCGUAGAUAUCAAGUGGAACACCAGUGGCGAAGGCGAAUCCCUGGAAAAUACCUGACACUGAGGCACGAAAGCUAGGGGAGCAAACAGG
rnacentral:rRNA from 1 species